UACGUAGGGUGCAAGCGUUGUCCGGAAUUAUUGGGCGUAAAGAGCUCGUAGGCGGUUUGUCGCGUCGGCUGUGAAAACCUGGGGCUCAACCCCGGGCCUGCAGCCGAUACGGGCAAACUAGAAUUCGGUAGGGGAGACUGGAAUUCCUGGUGUAGCGGUGAAAUGCGCAGAUAUCAGGAGGAACACCGGUGGCGAAGGCGGAUCUCUGGGCCGUAACUGACGCUGAGGAGCGAAAGCAUGGGGAGCGAACAGG
rnacentral:rRNA from 1 species